rnacentral:rRNA from 1 species
AGAGUUUGAUUAUGGCUCAGAUUGAACGCUGGCGGCAUGCCUUACACAUGCAAGUCGAACGGCAGCGCGGGGCAACCUGGCGGCGAGUGGCGAACGGGUGAGUAAUAUAUCGGAACGUGCCCUGGAGUGGGGGAUAACGCAGCGAAAGUUGCGCUAAUACCGCAUACGAUCUAAGGAUGAAAGCAGGGGACCGCAAGGCCUUGUGCUCCUGGAGCGGCCGAUAUCUGAUUAGCUAGUUGGUGGGGUAAAGGCCUACCAAGGCAUCGAUCAGUAGCUGGUCUGAGAGGACGACCAGCCACACUGGAACUGAGACACGGUCCAGACUCCUACGGGAGGCAGUAGUGGGGAAUUUUGGACAAUGGGCGCAAGCCUGAUCCAGCAAUGCCGCGUGCAGGAUGAAGGCCUUCGGGUUGUAAACUGCUUUUGUACGGAACGAAACGGCUCUUUCUAAUAAAGAGGGCUAAUGACGGUACCGUAAGAAUAAGCACCGGCUAACUACGUGCCAGCAGCCGCGGUAAUACA